rnacentral:rRNA from 1 species
GAGUUUGAUCCUGGCUCAGAUUGAACGCUAGCGGAAUGCCUUACACAUGCAAGUCGAACGGCAGCACGGACUUCGGUCUGGUGGCGAGUGGCGAACGGGUGAGUAAUGUAUCGGAACGUACCCAGUAGCGGGGGAUAACUACUCGAAAGAGUAGCUAAUACCGCAUACGCCCUACGGGGAAACGGGGGGAUCUUCGGACCUCCCACUAUUGGAGCGGCUGAUAUCGGAUUAGCUAGUUGGUGAGGUAAAGGCUCACCAAGGCGACGAUCCGUAGCUGGUUUGAGAGGACGACCAGCCACACUGGGACUGAGACACGGCCCAGACUCCUACGGGAGGCAGCAGUGGGGAAUUUUGGACAAUGGGGGAAACCCUGAUCCAGCCAUUCCGCGUGUGUGAAGAAGGCCUUCGGGUUGUAAAGCACUUUUGGCGGGAAAGAAACGGCGUCGACUAAUACUCGGCGUAACUGACGGUACCCGCAGAAUAAGCACCGGCUAACUACGUG